rnacentral:rRNA from 1 species
UACGUAGGGGGCAAGCGUUGUCCGGAAUUAUUGGGCGUAAAGCGCGCGCAGGCGGCUAUGUAAGUCUGAUGUUAAAGCCCGGGGCUCAACCCCGGUUCGCAUUGGAAACUGCGUAGCUUGAGUGCAGAAGAGGAAAGCGGUAUUCCACGUGUAGCGGUGAAAUGCGUAGAGAUGUGGAGGAACACCAGUGGCGAAGGCGGCUUUCUGGUCUGUAACUGACGCUGGAGGCGCGAAAGCGUGGGGAGCAAACAGG